AUGAACGCUGGCGGCGUGCCUAAUACAUGCAAGUCGAGCGAACAGACGAGGAGCUUGCUCCUCUGACGUUAGCGGCGGACGGGUGAGUAACACGUGGAUAACCUACCUAUAAGACUGGGAUAACUUCGGGAAACCGGACCUAAUACCGGAUAAUAUAUUGAACCGCAUGGUUCAAUAGUGAAAGACGGUUUUGCUGUCACUUAUAGAUGGAUCCGCGCCGCAUUAGCUAGUUGGUAAGGUAACGGCUUACCAAGGCAACGAUGCGUAGCCGACCUGAGAGGGUGAUCGGCCACACUGGAACUGAGACACGGUCCAGACUCCUACGGGAGGCAGCAGUAGGGAAUCUUCCGCAAUGGGCGAAAGCCUGACGGAGCAACGCCGCGUGAGUGAUGAAGGUCUUCGGAUCGUAAAACUCUGUUAUUAGGGAAGAACAAAUGUGUAAGUAACUAUGCACGUCUUGACGGUACCUAAUCAGAAAGCCACGGCUAACUACGUG
rnacentral:rRNA from 1 species